GGAAAGAUGCCGGAGUGGUCGAUCGGGGCGGUCUCGAAAACCGUUGUACUCUUGCGGGUACCAAGGGUUCGAAUCCCUUUCUUUCCG
rnacentral:tRNA from 1 species